GGCGUCCACACUUAUCGGUUUGUUUGAUGUUACAGCCAAGGGUCUGUAGCUCAGGUGGUUAGAGCACCGUCUUGAUAAGGCGGGGGUCGUAGGUUCAAGUCCUACCAGACCCACCAAGUUACGGACGGUGGUGAGCGCCUGCUGUUCAAUGGGGGAUUAGCUCAGCUGGGAGAGCACCUGCUUUGCAAGCAGGGGGUCGUCGGUUCGAUCCCGUCAUCCUCCACCAAACCUUGUGGUGGCCAAACGCAAGCAUCGAGGGGCUCGGUGUUUGCGUUUGGCAUUGCCAAGACGAGAGAAGUAGCUCGGCUGUUCUUUAACAAUAUGGAAUGUAGUAAAGGUGUCGCGGCGCGUUGAUGAGGCGCGCAAUUCAAACGCGACACUGGGUUGUGAUUGUAUCAACCAGUAUUACGAGUGAUCGAAAGACCGCUUGGAAUACGGCACAACGCGAGAACUCAGCCUAUAGCGAGACAUACUCGUUAUAGGGUCAAGCGAAUAAGUGCAUGUGGUGGAUGCCUUGGCGAUCACAGGCGAUGAAGGACGUAGUAGCUUGCGAAAAGCUGCGGGGAGCUGGCAAACGAGC
rnacentral:misc_RNA from 1 species